GAUGAACGCUGGCGGCGUGCUUAACACAUGCAAGUCGAACGAUGAAGCCCAGCUUGCUGGGUGGAUUAGUGGCGAACGGGUGAGUAACACGUGAGUAACCUGCCCUUGACUCUGGGAUAAGCGCUGGAAACGGCGUCUAAUACCAGAUACGAGCUUCCACCGCAUGGUGAGUUGCUGGAAAGAAUUUCGGUCAAGGAUGGACUCGCGGCCUAUCAGGUAGUUGGUGAGGUAACGGCUCACCAAGCCGACGACGGGUAGCCGGCCUGAGAGGGUGACCGGCCACACUGGGACUGAGACACGGCCCAGACUCCUACGGGAGGCAGCAGUGGGGAAUAUUGCACAAUGGGCGCAAGCCUGAUGCAGCAACGCCGCGUGAGGGACGAAGGCCUUCGGGUUGUAAACCUCUUUUAGCAGGGAAGAAGCGAAAGUGACGGUACCUGCAGAAAAAGCACCGGCUAACUACGUG
rnacentral:rRNA from 1 species